CCACUGCUGAGGAGUCCCACAAUAGGACAAAACGGUCGUUCAGUGC
rnacentral:hammerhead_ribozyme from 1 species